rnacentral:snoRNA from 1 species
UGGCGUGCAAUGAUGAUACACAAAUCAAGCAUAGUUCACUCUGAUUCAAGCAUGAACGACGCAAAUCUAGAAAUUAGUCUUUCGCUCCUAUCUGAUUUCGUUU